rnacentral:rRNA from 1 species
AUGAUGAUUGCCCGCGGCUGCCUCCUCAGAUCCAAGGCUGAGAGCUUAGUGAAACAUGUAGCCAGCGGUGGAAGCUGGCAUGGGUUGCAUAGUUUUUCAGAGGCAUCAGCCAGGGGUUUCAGCUCUGAGCCGUCUCUUCAGGCCGACUCGACGGAAGAAAUCGGGUUCAAGGGGCAUGGCAUGCUGGCUCCAUUCACAGCUGGAUGGCAGAGCACCGAUGUGCAUCCCCUGGUUAUUGAUAGAUCUGAGGGUGCAUAUGUCUAUGAUAUCAAUGGGAAAAAGUAUAUAGAUGCUCUUGCAGGACUCUGGUGUACAGCUCUAGGUGGCAGCGAACCUCGACUAGUCAAAGCUGCAACAGAGCAAUUAAACAAAUUACCCUUCUAUCAUUCCUUCUGGAACCGUACUACCAAACCCUCAUUGGAUCUUGCAAAUGACGUUCUCAACAUGUUUACUGCAAGGGAAAUGGGAAAGGUAUUCUUCGCAAAUAGUGGUUCAGAAGCAAAUGACUCUCAGGUGAAACUAGUGUGGUAUUAUAACAAUGCAAUGGGGAGACCAGAUAAGAAGAAAUUUAUUGCACGCUCAAAAUCAUAUCAUGGUUCAACAUUAAUAUCAGCUAGUUUAUCCGGUCUUCCUGCUCUUCAUCAAAAGUUUGAUCUACCGGCACCUUUUGUUCUGCACACGGACUGUCCACACUACUGGCGCUUCCAUCUUCCUGAUGAAACAGAAGAAGAAUUUUCUACUAGACUUGCAAACAACUUGGAGAAUCUUAUCCUAAAAGAAGGACCAGAAACAAUUGCUGCUUUCAUUGCUGAACCUGUGAUGGGUGCCGGUGGUGUCAUCCUUCCUCCAAAGACUUAUUUUGAGAAGAUUCAAGCAGUCCUCAAGAAGUACGACGUCUUGUUAAUAGCAGAUGAGGUCAUUACUGCAUUUGGGAGAUUGGGAACCAUGUUUGGAUGUGAUAUGUAUAAUAUUCAACCAGAUCUCGUCUCCAUAGCAAAGGCUCUUUCUUCGGCCUACAUGCCAAUUGCAGCUAUUCUUGUUAGCCCAGAAAUAGCAGAUGUAGUUCAUUCGCAGAGCAGUAAACUUGGUUCUUUUGCUCAUGGCUUUACAUACUCCGGGCAUCCAGUUGCCUGUGCUGUUGCCAUAGAAGCUCUGAAGAUCUACAAGGAAAGGAAUAUUACCGAACAUGUCAACACAAUUGCCCCAAGGUUCCAAGAAGGAAUCAAGGCCUUCUCAGGCAGUCCGAUCGUCGGAGAGAUACGUGGCCUGGGAUUGAUACUUGGAACUGAAUUUGUCGACAACAAGUCACCAAAUGAUCCAUUCCCUGCAGAAUGGGGGGUUGGUUCAAUAUUUGGUGCCGAGUGUGAGAAGCGUGGGAUGCUUAUCAGGGUUGCUGGGGAUAACAUCAUGCUAUCACCUCCACUAAUAAUGACUCCCGAUGAAGUUGAAGAAAUUGUGAGCAAAUAUGGUGGCGCCCUAAAGGCCACAGAGGAAAGAAUUGAGGAGCUCAAAUCAGCCAAGAAGUGA